GGAAGGAUCAUUAACACUAAUCCACACAUCUCAACUUAGCCUUCAGUGCAGCAUCAGUCCACGCUAGCGAAAGCAGGCAUGAGCUGUUGCAGCAUCAAUAAACUAAUCAAACAAAGGAGCCUAACUAAGCUUAUCAACUAAUACCAAAUUCUCAACGAUGGAUAUCUUGGUUCCCAUAACGAUGAAGAACGCAGCGAAGUGCGAUAAGCAAUGCGAAUUGCAGAACCGUGAGUCAUCAGAUUUUUGAACGCAACUGGCGCCAGUUGGUCCUCCAGCUGGCAUGCUUGUUUCAGUGUCUCUUUUUCUCCUCACCCAAACCUUAAUGUGAGAGAUACCCUUCUCUUACCAAGUACGAAAGCACUCUGAGCUCUGCACGCGGCUUCGCUUCGGUGGAUCCGCACUCAAUGCAGCAGUCACAUUUUACAAUGUGAACUCAUUGAGAGUUGAGUCAGCGCAGCUCGUCUGCAAGUGCUUAGACCUCUAAACUCUUCUUGUAUCUGAAAUCAAGCAGGAUCACCCGCUGAACUUAAGCAUAUCACUAAGCGGAGGAAAAGAAAUUAACUAAGAUUGCCCCAGUAACGGCGAGUGAAGCGGCAAAAGCCCAAAUUGGAAAUCUUCAUCUUUUAGAUGACGAAUUGUAAUCUAUAGUUUGGUAGCUCACCUAGCGGUGGCGCAGAAGUGACUUAGAACGGUCCGCCAGAGAGGGUGACAGCCCCGUAUGUGGUGCCACUGCUUAACGAGCUCCAUUCAAAGAGUCGGGUUGUUUUGAAUUUCAGCCCUAAUCUAGGAGAUAGACUUCUUCUAAGGCUAAAUAUUUAUGGGAAACCGAUAGCGAACAAGUACUGUGAAGGAAAGAUGAAAAGAACUUUGAAAAGAGAGUCAAAAGACUUGAAAUCGUUGAGAAGGAA
rnacentral:misc_RNA from 1 species